AUAAAAUGACACGUUUAGGUUGGCUCUGGAGUGAAUCUACACACAGUUUAUUCAGAAUGUUUGGGUUCUUUGCAGCCGCCCUACUCACUCAUUCAUUCAUUUAUUCACUCAUUCAUUUGUUCAUCCGUCCAUUUGGUUCCUAUGCUGUGCCAGACGCUCUGCUGGGCACUGGAUGUGUAAAGAUCAGAAAACACGGCACCUCUGCAAAGAAGCUCACAGGCCAGUGACGAAAAUAGUCCUUUGUACAAUUAUAAAGCAGUGACAGGGAUGUCUCAAGGGCUUUAUGGGAGCACAGAUGAUGGAGUCUGUUAUGGGUUAAAAUGUAUGCCCCCGAAUUCAGAUGUCGACUCUCUACCAUCCAGGAGCUCAGAAUAUGACCUUGUGCAGAGACAAGAUCUUCAGUGACGUCAUCAAGUUAAAAACGAGGCCGUUAGGAGCUGGCUUCAUUCAAUAUGGCUGGUGUCUCCGUGGGCCAUGUGGGGACGGCGGCGGAGACUGGGGCGAAGCUCCUACACGCCCACGGAACGGCACCAGACCACGCCGGAACACCGCCGGAAGCCGGAAGCCGGAAGGUGUAAUAACACGCAGGCACGCAGCCGACUGCUCCUCGCGGUCCUCACCAGGGCCCUUCCGGGAGCUGCCGGGAGGAGCGUCAGAGAGGGCUUCCGGGAGGAGAGGACCCGGCAGCAAGUUGUCAGGGAAAGGGGGCGCGGUGUGAUCUCAGAAUGGCCUGCCGCACCCGGGAAGAGCACACACCUUCCUCACAACAGGAAGACUGCUAACAAAAAGGCUUUUGCCCAGCCGCUGCGUUCGAGAAAAUCCGGCUAUUUAAUAGUGAUUCCCCGGAAGAGAAGAAGACAUUCUGACUUCAAACCACCAUCUUUAAACUGGAAGUUCAACUUUGGAAUUGUAAAGACAGAUGCCUGA
ensembl:lncRNA